AUGUGGAGCAAGUUCUGCGACAUCUGCGUGAUGACGAAGCAGAGACGACUCCCCUUUCCCCAACAGGCGAGUUUUCGGGCCAAGGAGAGGCUGGAGCUCGUGCACGGAGACCUGUGCGGCCCGGUGACGCCAGCCACACCAGGAGGUCGACGCUACUUCCUGCUGCUCGUCGACGAUCUCUCCUGUUACAUGUGGGUGAUGAUCCUCGGCAGUAAGGGAGAGGCGGCGGACGCCAUCAGGCGCGCACAGGUUGGUGUGGAGGCGGAGAGCGGCCGCAAAUUGCGCGUGUUGCGCACUGACAACGGCGGCGAAUUCACGGCGGCUGAAUUCGCGUCGUACUGCGCCGAUGAGGGCAUCCAGCGCCAAUACGCGCCGUACAGCCCGCAGCAAAACGGCAGAGGGAUGCCGGCUUUCUUCUGGGGAGAGGCGGUGCUAACAGCCGUCUACAUCCUAAACCGCUCGCCUACCAAGGCACUCGACGGCAGGACACCGUACGAGGCCUGGCAUGGGCGGAAGCCGGCGGUCUCCCACUUGCGGGUCUUUGGCUGCCUUGCAUUCGCCAAGGAGCUCGGUCACAUCGGCAAGCUCGACGACAGGAGCACUCCGGGAGUCUUCAUCGGCUACGCGGAGGGCUCAAAGGCCUACCGCAUCCUCAACCCAAAACACAGCGUGUGCGCACGGUGCGAGACGUCGUGUUCAACGAAGGGCGAGGGUGGCAAUGGGACAAGGCGGUGGACGACGGCUCGACGCCGACGUACGACGACUUCAUUGUCGAGUACGUCCACUUCAAGGAAGCCGGGGGAGCAACCAGCUCCUCGUCGCCGGGCACGCCUACCCCGGCCCCCAAAACCACAUCGACUCCGGUGCCUGCUACGCCGACGGCACCACAACCGGCGACGCCGCACACUCCAGCCCCGGCAGUCACCACCCCGGGCUCACCUUCAUCAGCACCAGCUCACGCAGAGCACAACCCGACGAAGUUCGCUUCUCCGCUCACUCACGACGAGGAGCGGAUCGACGCGUAUUAUGGCGGCGAACCGCUGCGGUAUCGUACGAUGGAAGAUCUACUCGGCGACCAGCCGGUGCCGGGACUGGUGCCACGUGACCUGGAGGCGCAGCUACAACUCGCGUGUGAAGACGGCGAACCACGGUCUUUUGCAGAGGCCGAGAGAGACGCGGCAUGGCGCGCCGCGAUGCAGUUGGAGAUGGAUGCGGUCGAGCAAAACCGCACCUCGGAGCUCGCUGACCUCCCUCGUGGUCACCACGCAAUCACCCUUAAGUGGGUGUUCAAGCUGA
rnacentral:rRNA from 1 species